rnacentral:rRNA from 1 species
CGAGGACGACGCGUGGCGGCGUGCUUAACACAUGCAAGUCGAACGGGGGCCCGACGAAGGGUAACCGGCGGAACGGGUGCGUAACACGUGAGCAAUCUGCCUAGAUGGUGGGGGAUACGCCGGCCCAACGGCCGGUAAUACCGCAUACGCUCGUCGACUGGCAUCAGUUGACGAGGAAACUUUCGAGGCAUCUAGAGGAGCCUGCGGGCCAUUAGCUUGUUGGUGAGGUAACGGCUCACCAAGGCUGUGAUGGCUAGCUGGUCUGAGAGGAUGACCAGCCACACUGGGACUGAGACACGGCCCAGACUCCUACGGGAGGCAGCAGUGGGGAAUAUUGCGCAAUGGGCGAAAGCCUGACGCAGCGACGCCGCGUGGGUGAUGAAGGCCUUCGGGUCGUAAAGCCCUGUCGCAGGGGAAGAAUAAGCAUCGGUAUAAUACGCCGGUGCCCUGACGGUACCCUGCAAGAAAGCACCGGCUAACUCCGUG